UGCAGCUUCUACCUGGGACUGGUAGGACACAUACUCUUGGGACACACCUUUUUAGAGCCAGCUGCUGGGCUCUAAGGGUGGUAAACUACAAGGAGAGAUCACAAGUGGCCACCCUGCUUUGCAUACAGAGCUCAUGGUCAACAACUAGCAUCAGUUGCCUGCUCUGUGAGGAAGACUUCUUAGACAGUCAUCCCAGUGAAGCCACCAGAGGUCUUUGAUCUCAGCCAACAUCUGACUGCAGCUGCUUAACGAACCCCGUUCUUAAACUGUCCACGUGUGUGGAGUUCACCCAAAGCACCAUGAGAGGUGAUACUGAUUUUCUGUUCUACAACAGGGAGUUUGGGGUGAUUUGUUCCACAGCAACCAAACGGUAACACCCACCAACCCCUGUCGAGAACACACUAUUCUUCAUGAUUUAUUGAGAAAAGGAAAAAAUGAAGAAGUAAUGGUGUAAUCUUCCAGGGAAUCCAUGUCCUCACCUAUAAAAUACCUCAAGGAAUUCUCUCCCGCUUACUAUACUCAAUAUAUUCUCCCUGACACCAUAUCUCCUAUCACUUAUGGCUUAGGACUUGUGCUAGUUACUAUAUGUAUUACUUUUCACAGAUUCAUGAUUAGUUUUUACAUGUAUGUAGUCUACAUCCUCAACUAUAUGUAAAUUCCUUGGUUAUUGUCUUUUCUUUCCAUUGUACUGUCUACUGUGUUCAAUAAAUGCCAACUGUUUUUCUGCUUCGUGGGCUACAUCAA